rnacentral:rRNA from 60 species
CGCGACCCCAGGUCAGGCGGGGUUACCCGCUGAAUUUAA